UACGGGGGGGGCAAGCGUUGUUCGGAAUUACUGGGCGUAAAGGGCUCGUAGGCGGCCAACUAAGUCAGACGUGAAAUCCCUCGGCUUAACCGGGGAACUGCGUCUGAUACUGGAUGGCUUGAGUUCGGGAGAGGGAUGCGGAAUUCCAGGUGUAGCGGUGAAAUUCGUAGAUAUUCGGAGGAACACCAGAAGCGAAGGCGGCUCACUGGCCCGAUACUGACGCUGAGGCGCGAAAGCGUGGGGAGCAAACAGG
rnacentral:rRNA from 1 species